rnacentral:rRNA from 1 species
AUUGAACGCUGGCGGCAGGCCUAACACAUGCAAGUCGAGCGGCAGCGGAAAGUAGCUUGCUACUUUGCCGGCGAGCGGCGGACGGGUGAGUAAUGUCUGGGAAACUGCCUGAUGGAGGGGGAUAACUACUGGAAACGGUAGCUAAUACCGCAUGACCUCGAAAGAGCAAAGUAGGGGAUCUUCGGACCUCACGCCAUCGGAUGUGCCCAGAUGGGAUUAGCUAGUAGGUGAGGUAAUGGCUCACCUAGGCGACGAUCCCUAGCUGGUCUGAGAGGAUGACCAGCCACACUGGAACUGAGACACGGUCCAGACUCCUACGGGAGGCAGCAGUGGGGAAUAUUGCACAAUGGGCGCAAGCCUGAUGCAGCCAUGCCGCGUGUGUGAAGAAGGCCUUAGGGUUGUAAAGCACUUUCAGCCAGGAGGAAGGCAUCACACUUAAUACGUGUGGUGAUUGACGUUACUCGCAGAAGAAGCACCGGCUAACUCCGUGCCAGCCGCCGCCG